rnacentral:lncRNA from 1 species
CACCGAGACGCUCAUUUUUGCCUAAGCCGCCCUUUCGGGUUUUCAACUUAGCGAGCUAUUCUGUUUUUUUCGUUUUUUUUUUUUCAUUUGCAUAUACUUUUUUUCUAGGCAAAGUAUCUCUUAACUGCAUCUGAAUUCACAGGACGAGUGAAAUCCUCCCCAUCCAUUGUUGUAAGCAUCAAAGCACCGCCUGAAAAGGCUCUCUUAACAAC